CUACUCAGUCGCAAGGAUCAAAGAAUUUGAUUGACAAAGAAUAUUGCGAGGCUCAAAGAUUCUUAAUCAAUUGAUUCGACCACUUUUCUGGAGGGGUCCUCCGGACUAUUCAACCUAUUAGUUUGACGUCUGAACUUUUUUUAUUGCUUCCACUUUCUGGGAGUAUGAAAGAGAAGAGAAGAAGCAGCAGGGAGGGGAGGAAGAAAAGAAAGCCUAAAGAACAGACAUUCAGUUCCAUCAAUUCCAAGCCUAUCCUAACCGCUCCGACGGAGCUUUCGCAAAUUCUUUGCGCCUAACCUUUGCGGUGAGUCCUUCGGACCAGCUGACUAUUCGCUAUUCUAAAACCGGGGAGCCGAGCACUCUCAAAUAUAGCUUAAAGGAAGAU
rnacentral:lncRNA from 1 species